GAUGAACGCUGGCGGCGUGCCUAAUACAUGCAAGUCGAGCGAACGGACGAGAAGCUUGCUUCUCUGAUGUUAGCGGCGGACGGGUGAGUAACACGUGGAUAACCUACCUAUAAGACUGGGAUAACUUCGGGAAACCGUAGCUAAUACCGGAUAAUAUUUUGAACCGCAUGGUUCAAAAGUGAAAGACGGUCUUGCUGUCACUUAUAGAUGGAUCCGCGCUGCAUUAGCUAGUUGGUAAGGUAACGGCUUACCAAGGCAACGAUGCAUAGCCGACCUGAGAGGGUGAUCGGCCACACUGGAACUGAGACACGGUCCAGACUCCUACGGGAGGCAGCAGUAGGGAAUCUUCCGCAAUGGGCGAAAGCCUGACGGAGCAACGCCGCGUGAGUGAUGAAGGUCUUCGGAUCGUAAAACUCUGUUAUUAGGGAAGAACAUAUGUGUAAGUAACUGUGCACAUCUGGACGGUACCUAAGCAGAAAACCACGGCUAACUACGU
rnacentral:rRNA from 1 species